AUUGAACGCUGGCGGCAGGCCUAACACAUGCAAGUCGAGCGGAUGAGGAGUGCUUGCACUCCGAUUCAGCGGCGGACGGGUGAGUAAUGCCUAGGAAUCUGCCUAUUAGUGGGGGAUAACGUUCCGAAAGGAACGCUAAUACCGCAUACGUCCUACGGGAGAAAGUGGGGGAUCUUCGGACCUCACGCUAAUAGAUGAGCCUAGGUCGGAUUAGCUAGUUGGUGGGGUAACGGCUCACCAAGGCGACGAUCCGUAGCUGGUCUGAGAGGAUGAUCAGCCACACUGGGACUGAGAUACGGCCCAGACUCCUACGGGAGGCAGCAGUGGGGAAUAUUGGACAAUGGGCGAAAGCCUGAUCCAGCAAUGCCGCGUGAGUGAAGAAGGUCUUCGGAUUGUAAAGCACUUUAAGUCGGGAGGAAGGGCUGUAGGCUAAUACCUUGCAGUUUUGACGUUACCGACAGAAUAAGCACCGGCUAACUUCGUGCCAGCCGCCGCGGUAA
rnacentral:rRNA from 1 species